rnacentral:tRNA from 1 species
GUCACCAUAGCUCAGUGGUUAGAGCACUUGUCUCGUAAACCAGGGGUCGUGAGUUCAAACCUCCCUGGUGGCU